GAUGAACGCUGGCGGCGUGCCUAAUACAUGCAAGUCGAGCGAACGGACGAGAAGCUUGCUUCUCUGAUGUUAGCGGCGGACGGGUGAGUAACACGUGGAUAACCUACCUAUAAGACUGGGAUAACUUCGGGAAACCGGAGCUAAUACCGGAUAAUAUUUUGAACCGCAUGGUUCAAAAGUGAAAGACGGUCUUGCUGUCACUUAUAGAUGGAUCCGCGCUGCAUUAUCUAGUUGGUAAGGUAACGGCUUACCAAGGCAACGAAGCAUAGCCGACCCGAGAGGGUGAUCGGCGACACUGGAACUGAGACACGGUCCAGACUCCUACGGGAGGCAGCAGUAGGGUAUCUUCCGCAAUGGUCGAAAGCCUGACGGAGCAGCGCCGCGUGAGUGAUGAAGGUCUUCAGAUCGUAAAACUCUGUUAUUAGGGAAGAACAUAUGUGUAAGUAACUGUGCACAGCUUGACGGUACCUAGUCAGAAAGCAACGGCUAACUACGUG
rnacentral:rRNA from 1 species